GCCGGGAUGGCGGAAUUGGCAGACGCAUCGGACUUAAAAUCCGGUGGGCACAUUUUUGCCCGUGUGGGUUCGAGUCCCACUCCCGGCACCA
rnacentral:tRNA from 1 species